AGAAGGGGGGAGAAUCGAUUCCUAAUCGGACAGAGAGAGCUGAGAGGAAGCCAGAUCAGCAGGGCUGUCUGUAACACACCUAAUAAGAAGACACUGUUGCGCAGUAAUUCUUGCACUCCAGGAUAAAGGAGGAAGAAAGUACUGAUGACUUGCAAAUGGGAAACUGGCAGAGGUGCGUCCUAUAAGUCACCUGUCAGAAAGGGAGUUUGAAAAAUAGAGACGUUCCAUCUUUCUUUCUAGUCAUAGUAUUCUCACCUUCAGUAAAAUGAGCUAAUUUGUUUCUUAUUUAUAUUAUUCCUAUGCAGGGUGAAUUCUUAGGACAA